CGGCGAUGUCCGAAUGGGGAAACCCAGUGUGAUUCGUCACACUAUCGUUAACUGAAUACAUAGGUUAACGAGGCGAACCGGGGGAACUGAAACAUCUAAGUACCCCGAGGAAAAGAAAGCAACCGAGAUUCCCCCAGUAGCGGCGAGCGAACGGGGAGCAGCCCAGAGUCUGAAUCAGCUUGUGUGUUAGUGGAAGCGUCUGGAAAGUCGCACGGUACAGGGUGAAAGUCCCGUACACGAAAA
rnacentral:rRNA from 1 species